GAUGAACGCUGGCGGCGUGCCUAACACAUGCAAGUCGAACGGAAAGACCAUGCUUUUGGGGGGUGCGCGAGCGGGUAACGGGUGAGUAACACGUGAGUAACCUGCCCCUGACUUUGGGAUAACUACUGGAAACUGGGGCUAAUACCAGAGAGGAGCUCCUGAUGCAUGAUGGGGGGUGGAUAGGGUCGGCGGUACGGGAUGGUCUCGCGGCUGAUCAGCUUGUUGGUGGGGUAGUGGUGUACCCAGGCGUGGCCGGGCAGCCGGCCUGAGAGGGUGGCCAGCCACCUUGGGCCUGAGAGACGGCGCAGACGCCUACGGGAGGCAACGGUGGGGAGUCUUGCGCAGUGGGCGCGCGUCUGUGGCAGAGGCGCCGCGGUCGGAAAGACGGCUUUCGGGUUAUGAACCGCUUUCGCCUGUGACGAAGCGUGAUUGACGGUACUGGGUAAAGAAGCACCGGCUAACUACGUG
rnacentral:rRNA from 1 species